AUUGAACGCUGGCGGCAUGCUUUACACAUGCAAGUCGAACGGUAACAGGGUGCUUGCACCGCUGACGAGUGGCGAACGGGUGAGUAAUGCGUCGGAACGUGCCGAGUAGUGGGGGAUAACGCAGCGAAAGUUGUGCUAAUACCGCAUACGUACUGAGGUAGAAAGUGGGGGACCUUCGGGCCUCACGCUAUUCGAGCGGCCGACGUCUGAUUAGCUAGUAGGUGAGGUAAAGGCUCACCUAGGCGACGAGCAGUAGCGGGUCUGAGAGGAUGAUCCGCCACACUGGGACUGAGACACGGCCCAGACUCCUACGGGAGGCAACAGUGGGGAAUUUUGGACAAUGGGCGAAAGCCUGAUCCAGCCAUGCCGCGUGUCUGAAGAAGGCCUUCGGGUUGUAAAGCACUUUAAGCGAGGAGGAGGCUACUUUAGAUAAUACCUAGAGAUAGUGGACGUUACUCGCAGAAUAAGCACCGGCUAACUCUGUGCCAGCAGCCGCGGUAAAAC
rnacentral:rRNA from 1 species